CAUGUGUGUACCUAUGCAACAAUCCUGCAUGAUCUGCACAUGUACCCCAGAACCUAAAGUACAAUUAAAAAAAAGAAAAAGGUAUCACUCAAUAAAUGUUAGUUGUCAUUUUUACUACUACUGAAAACAUUUUGAAGCCGCAUAAUGUAUUUAUAUUCCACAAUUAAACACAUGUAUUUCAUAUGGCAGUCACAUGGGUUGGUUGGCUGGUUGAUUGACAAUGUUCCUUGAUGUCCGAAACCAUGUCUUUUUCUUUUUAUAGAUCAAAAUUCCAACAGAAUUUCCAGAUAGCACCAAGUAACAGAACUAAAUUGACACAUAUACCUAUGGAACUAAAAGAUACCAGAUUUUCAAAGUUAUGCCAAAUCUAAGUAAGGAACUUAGUAUAGAAAUUUUUAUAAAAGACGUCAUCUUCCAUCCUCUUGAAGACACCUUUGUUAGAUUGAAAGGAGCUACAUAUUCUUUGCCAUUCUUUGCCAUUUAUUCUAAUUAUCAAUAUAGACUAUUGCCCCUCCUCUUAGAUCUGGAUGGUCCUGUGAUUGGUUUUGAGUGAUAGAAUACAGCAGAAGAGAUGCUGUGGUAAUUCUGAGGCAGGGUCCUAAAAGAUCUGCACGCUCUGCCUUCACAUCUUGAAAUAUUUCUUUUUGGAAUCACCAUGCUCUCCAAAGCCCAAAUAAACUGGGAAAAGGCCAUAUGAGAGGAGCGAAGACAUGUCGUUUGUUCAUCCCCAGACAAGCACCCACCUGCAACCAACAACUGCCAGCGUAUCAGCCAGCUGUCUUGAGUGUUUCAGCCCCAAUCAAUCCUCCAGGCUUUCAGAGAUGAAAAUCUGUUGGAUGACACGCAGCUUACCCUUUCAAAGUUCCUCAAGGACCCCGGGGAAUGCAGCCAUCUGGAAUUUGCUGUCAUGCUGUGAUUUCUGCAGGUUUGUUUAACUUUUAAUCUCUCCAGUCACAUCUUUUAUUAUCCACUCUGUGCAUAAUUUUUGCAUUAUAUAGUCCUUUUUUAAACAGUGAGCUGAAAUUGCUCAAUUUAAUCACAAAUGUGCCUCUGAAAGACUUGAUGUCUUAAAAGUUAUUUCCCUCCUUUCUCAUGUUGAAAAAACAAUACUGUGGCUGUAUCAGAUUUGCUGCUCACAAAUCAGUCCCAUCCUCCUAAGAAUGCAGCAGAAAGCAGAAUUUAAUGAAAGCUAGGUACUUUUAGAAUUAAUUAAUAGCAUUUAAGAUAGUUUUGAUUUCUCUAAUUCUUUGCUAUCUGUAUUUUUGUGGGUGUUAAAGUCCAUUUAUUUUAGCUGUUUCUAAUAUUUCUAAACCACAGAAUAUUAAGACCAGAAAAAAGUUGCAGUUUACAUAAUUAUGGACUGGAC
rnacentral:lncRNA from 1 species